rnacentral:rRNA from 1 species
GAUGAACGCUAGCUACAGGCUUAACACAUGCAAGUCGGGGGGUAACGAGAGGGAAGCUUGCUUUCCUUGUCGACGACCGGCGCACGGGUGAGUAACGCGUAUCCAACCUGCCCCCAACUAGGGAAUAACCUUGCGAAAGUAAGACUAAUACCCUAUAAUUUCCUCAGAUGUCAUCUGACGAGGAAUAAAGAUUUAUCGGUUGUGGAUGGGGAUGCGUCUGAUUAGCUUGUUGGCGGGGUAACGGCCCACCAAGGCAACGAUCAGUAGGGGUUCUGAGAGGAAGGUCCCCCACAUUGGAACUGAGACACGGUCCAAACUCCUACGGGAGGCAGCAGUGAGGAAUAUUGGUCAAUGGGCGAGAGCCUGAACCAGCCAAGUAGCGUGAAGGAUGAAGGUCCUAUGGAUUGUAAACCUCUUUUAUAGUAGAAUAAAGUGAUCCACGUGUGGAUUUUUGUAUGUAUACUAUGAAUAAGGAUCGGCUAACUCCGUGCCAGCAGCCGCAGUAA